CCUGCGCUCACCCCUAUUCCUCUCACAGAAGAUAAGGGCACAGUUAGGGCUGGAAAAGCAAUUGGUCUGUGACAAGGGGCAGCCAGGAUCCCAGGCCUGGCUAAGAGUUCAGCAGACUGUUUGCAGAGUGUGCACAGCAAGGGCUGACUUCGGAACAGGUACACACACGCACAUAGGAGCUAGGCCUAAGAGAACAAAAGGCUUCGAAUGUAUGAAAACAACCCAGGCCAAGUGGGUUCCUUUGUAUUUAAGCUACAAAUAUAAUUUAAGUGAGCCACUUUCAAGAGCAACAAAACCCACAGGAAUCCCGGAGAUUAAAGGCAGCAGAUUUUUAAGGAAUAGGAAAAUCAAGUAUUAAGUUAACACAAUGAACAUAGAAA
rnacentral:lncRNA from 1 species